rnacentral:rRNA from 1 species
GAUGAACGCUGGCGGCGUGCCUAAUACAUGCAAGUCGAGCGAACAGACGAGGAGCUUUCCCCUCUGACGUUAUCGGCGGACGGGUGAGUAACACGUGGAUAACCUAUCUACAAGACUGGGAUAACUUCGGGAAACCGGAGCUAUUACCGGAUAAUAUAUCGAAUCGCAUGGUCCAAUAGUGAAAGACGGUUUUGCUGUCACUUAUAGAUGGACCCGCGCCGCAUUAGCUAGUUGGUAAGGUAACGGCUUACCAAGGCAACGAUGCGUAGCCGACCUGAGAGGGUGAUCGGCCACACUGGAACUGAGACACGGUCCAGACUCCUACGGGAGGCAGCAGUAGGGAAUCUUCCGCAAUGGGCGAAAGCCUGACGGAGCAACGCCGCGUGAGUGAUGAAGGUCUUCGGAUCGUAAAGCUCUGUUAUUAGGGAAGAACAAAUGUGUAAGUAACUAUGCACGUCUUGACGGUACCUAAUCAGAAAGCCACGGCUAACUACGUG